AUACGUGUGGGUGGAGAUGCACAACCAUCGGACUGUGUAGCAUCAGGCUUUUACAGACGCUUCUCGUCCACUUCCGUUCUGGUUGAUUCCUCCUCCUGAGUUAGUACUUCUGCAAUUACAGCUGUAGCAGGAGACGUCGUCGCGAGCCCGACCCUACUGGUUGGUACUCGCUGGACACUGCAGUGUUUACACCACUGCUGAUACGCGCCCGACACCGACCGUGAGAGUCGUGUGUGCCGAUUGCCGUUUCCCUCCGCCUGGAAACC
rnacentral:ncRNA from 1 species